UACGGAGGAUCCAAGCGUUAUCCGGAAUCAUUGGGUUUAAAGGGUCCGUAGGCGGUUUUGUAAGUCCGUGGUGAAAGCCCAUCGCUCAACGGUGGAACGGCCAUUGAUACUGCAAGACUUGAAUUAUUAGGAAGUAACUAGAAUAUGUAGUGUAGCGGUGAAAUGCUUAGAUAUUACAUGGAAUACCAAUUGCGAAGGCAGGUUACUACUAAUAUAUUGACGCUGAUGGACGAAAGCGUGGGGAGCGAACAGG
rnacentral:rRNA from 1 species